AAAUCCCACGUUUCUUUAAAACCGUGAAUCUGACCCAAGGGAAAGUAUCUUUCUCUCUCCAAUCUCUCACAUAUCUCUAAGGUAAAGAUCUGCCAUGCAUCUCUCUCACGUCUCUCUACAACUCUAUACUACCCACCUAUGAGUUAUUCUGCAUGCCUCUUCUAUCCCACAAGAUCAAUCAAAAUUAAAAACCAAGAUCGGCGUGGAUCUCCGUCCGUCAAGCUGCUGCUAUAAACGCUUCGAUCUUUUGGCAUGUCGAUCAUGCUUGGUCGUCAUGGGAUGAUUCAGGUGAUCCACCAACUAAUCCCUCUCUGCCGCCAUCGUAUUCUUUUCUUGAUGGCCUAUUCCAUGUUCCAUAAGUUCAAGUCGAUUCCAUGAAUCCACUUUACUCCUUUUUACAUAUCUCCCCUUUGAAAUCCAUCGUUGUAGGAGGCAGACAAGACAUAUUCUAUUUUUAUUACGUGGAAUCCAGGUAAUCAAAAUCGACGGUCUGUCAGAUCUAAUACAUACUCCGUAAUAGGUAUUACAAUUUUUUUAAAGAGACGGGGCACCUGUUUCAAUUCCUACUGAUCUGAAUCUCACAAAGCCUCGGCAUGAGUAGAACUGAUCUUCCCAUCCUCAAGUCCACUACAUCUCGCGGCCCUUCCUGAAAUUCCAAAUCGAUCAUGCCGUUAAUUUAGCCAAUAAUGAUCUCUCCCGAUCCCGACAAAGAUGAGGCGUAUCUCCAAAGUGUUCUUUUUCUGCGGGCAACAUCUCAAGAGUUUGGCGUACGCUGCUACAUGGGGAGAAACUAACCUGCUUUUCCACUGCAUUGUUUUGUGUAAGAUGUUGUUUGCCCAGCCUCUUCCUGCGAUUCCAGCUGCUGUACAAGGACUCUCCAUCGAGAAGCCAUGCUAGGGAAAAGCGUAAUCACACUGGCCUACAUGUCCUGUAGACUGAACUUAUAUAUUGUGCAUCUCAAAAUAACUAUCAGCUAUAUCCUGAGUGCCGAAUACUUUUAGUUGUAUGUAGAAAAUGCUGAAGCAAUAUAAUCUUCACGGAUAUCCAUGUGUGUUUGAAGCACGGAGAGAGAGGAGACCUGGAAACUAAAUGGACCCUCAAAUGGCCGGUACAACACAGUUUAUGGUGUUUUACUGAACCCCAAAGUUUUGCCUCUAUAACUGUAGGGAAUUAAUGGGGUUAUUCCUGCCAACUUAAAAUGAUGGAUAUUUUGCCUCUCAACUGAGAACGUAUGUAUAUGUAUCUUAUGACCUACUCCGUCUACCAAAUUAUUCUUCAAUAGUUUGCACUUUAAUGGGUUGUGUUUGAUUAUUGGUAAGAGCUUGGCCUUAAAAUUUCUGCAGAUUCUUUGUCGAAGUUUAUCAUAUUUUAUUAUGAGAACAUUAGAUUGACAUAACAAUUAUUGUGCAUGGUGAUAUUGGUUAAUAUGCAUCUGACUUUGCACAUUGUACUAAAGUAAUACAUGCAAACUUAAGCACUUCACCGUCAAUCUUUCCAUACUUGCAUGGUAAUUAAUACCGACCAUGUAACAUUUGGCAGUCUAUUAUGUUUCUUCAACAGGUGGUAAUAACAUUUUUGUGGUCUUACUAUUUUGCAGUGUGAGAAAGCAGUCAAAAGUGUGGCCCUUAAAUUUAAAGAUAGGCGAUGGCGGCAGGUGGGACUACAUACCUGGGUUCUAUAAUAGGAUUUAAAAUGGUUAAAGAGUCCAGAUAAAUAUUUUGGGUACAUUAUUUGUUCCUUUUGUUUCUUAUUUCCACUGUCUGCAUUUUUAUGUAUUCUUAAUCUAAAGAAGUAAAGAUCAAAUAUAUUAUGUUUUGUUUUUUUAGAUUUGUCCAUUUGCAAAGAAAAAAACAAUUGGCUUCUGAAACAACAAAUUUAUAUGAUUCUACUUAUAAUGAAAUAUGAGUAAAUGAUCACGUUUCCGUCGCAUACUCUCUGGUCUCUCUCUCUCUCUCUCUCAUGUGUAUCUUCUCAUUAGGUUUCGGUCAGCUACGCCUAUUGGGCUAAUUCGGUUGUCAUCUCUCACAAGCAUAUAUACAUGGAGGUUGUUGUCAAAUAAUCCAUCCAGAAAAUGAUCCACUUCGACGAACACUGAUGGUACUGAAUUAAUACGUCAAUCUGGUCCUUUUGGACAAGUAGGUGAAGAAGCAAACAUUGAGAAAAGUUAUGACAUAUAUCCUGUAAUUUGAUCGACCCACUUUUGGUCAAUAAUUUUACCAUGCCAGGAGGGUGGAAAAGCAACUUGAUCAUGUGUGAUCUCCUACUUAACUGAUAUACAUUCCUAUUUUCUUCUGAUUUUUCUACAAAUUCUCUUCUCUUUCUCCACCAUACGUGGAUAACGAUGC
rnacentral:lncRNA from 1 species